rnacentral:rRNA from 1 species
AUUGAACGCUGGCGGAAUGCUUUACACAUGCAAGUCGGACGGUAGAGGGGGCAACCCCUCGAGAGUGGGGAACGGGUGAGUAAUAUAUCGGAACGUGCCCAGUCGCGGGGGAUAGCGUAGCGAAAGUUACGCUAAUACCGCAUACGACUUAAGGAUGAAAGCGGGGGAUCGCAAGAACUAGCGCGGUUGGAGAGGCCGAUACCAGAGUAGGUAGUUGGUGGGGGAAAGGAUCACCAAGCCAACGAUCUGUAGCUGGUCGGAGGGGACGACCAGCCACACUGGAACUGAGACACGGUCCAGACUCCUACGGGAGGCAGCAGUGGGGAAUUUUGGACAAUGGACGCAAGUCUGAUCCAGCCAUUCCGCGUGCAGGAUGAAGGCCCUCGGGUUGUAAACUGCUUUUGUACGGAACGAAAAGGUCUCUCUUAAUACGGGGGGCUCAUGACGGUACCGUAAGAAUAAGCACCGGCUAACUACGUGCCAGCCGCCGCCGUAA